GUUUAAAAAAAAAAUAAUCAAAUUUUUAUUUUUUAGGGUUUUCAGCUUGCCUGUCUGAUCUAAUAGUUUUGAAGAAUGAAACAAAUUUCUUCCCAUUAGGAAGACAAAGAAUAAAAUCAGUUAUCUUUCUGAUUUCUAAUUUAAAGGUAUUAUUACUGAAAUCCAGGGAUGUUUUACCAGUGAAGUGGAAAAAGGCUUGAUUGACAGAACAUAGCUUGAAAAUUCAUCACUCCAUACACAACCUGAAAAUUCAAUGUAUUUUGAGGACAGAUUAGGAAUUAUGGUUCACUUCUUCAUUUAUUGGCAAUAUAGACAUUUUCCUUUUUUCACAAAAUAUGGAGUAUGUUUUAAAAAACUUCUCAAGUUUGUGUUGCAAAGCUUCUGAAGAAAGGCCCAGAGCUCAACAGUAA
rnacentral:lncRNA from 1 species